GACGAACGCUGGCGGCGUGCUUAACACAUGCAAGUCGAACGGAGUGGCGAACGGGUGAGUAACACGUGGGUGAUCUGCCUUGUACUUCGGGAUAAGCUUGGGAAACUGGGUCUAAUACCGGAUAGUGCAAGAUGAGCUCGCGGCCUAUCAGCUUGUUGGUGGGGUAAUGGCCUACCAAGGCGUCGACGGGUAUCCGGCCUGAGAGGGUGUACGGCCAAAUUGGGACGAAGAUACAGACAGGACACCUACGGGAGGCAGGAGGGGGGAAUAUUGCACAAUGGGCGGAGGCGUGAUGCAGGGACGCCGGGUGGGGGAUGAAGGCCUUUGGGUUGUAAACUCCUUUCUAUAGUGACGCGGUACCUGUAUAAGAAGCACCGGCUAACUACGUGCCAGCAGCCGCGGUAAUUC
rnacentral:rRNA from 1 species